AAGUAAAUAUUCAAUCACUAUGCUCUAAAGUUAGGGGGCGCUGAACCAUCAUUCCACACUUUAACAUGGCGAGCGGCGGUGAAGUCAGGCUACAGUACGAGGAGGCGCCGGCGUCUUUCAAAUCCGUGGUGUGGAGACAUUUCGGUUUUGCCGUUGAGUAUGAUGCCGAGGAAGAAAAAACGAUCGGAUUCAUCAUGUAUGAUGCAUUCAUCAGUAUGGAGACGAAGCUGGCCAUAGGGGUCUGUGCAGAGGACUUGUCUGGCUCUUGUGGUCUUUGCUGAAGAUCUGUGCCGAUGGUUGUUGUUUCGACGAGGCCUUCACAGGGGAUUGUCUAGUUGACAGGAUCUCUGCUGACAUUCAGAUGGUUCUGCAGCACGUGUGGGGCUGAUUCUGAGUCAGUAUCUGAGUGGGUGGACAUCAGCCUACCUGCAGCCCAGGAUGUUGGCCUCACGCUGAGGAGAUCUGUAGAUGCUGUGAACCGUUUGCCAGUCAUCAGUGUUCAAGUUAGUGCAUCAUUAUCCCUUCAAAUAGCCCUGCUAAUGCGAAGCAAAGUGGGGCUCUCCCACACUGCCUGUAAAGCUAGCGGUUUGCCCAACACUGCUGGGAAGAGGAUUUGGGGUCUCGCUGGCUCAGUGCGACACAGUGAUCAUGAUGAAAAACAAAGAAACUCUUAGUCACAUAACCCAUUAAAUGAAAACCAGUGGAGAGAGCUGUGCCUUUG